rnacentral:rRNA from 1 species
AUUGAACGCUGGCGGCAUGCCUUACACAUGCAAGUCGAACGGUAACGGGCCUUCGGGUGCCGACGAGUGGCGAACGGGUGAGUAAUGUAUCGGAACGUACCUUUCAGUGGGGGAUAACGUAGCGAAAGUUACGCUAAUACCGCAUAUUCUGUGCGCAGUAAAGCAGGGGAUCGCAAGACCUUGCGCUGAUUGAGCGGCCGAUAUCAGAUUAGCUAGUUGGUGGGGUAAAGGCUCACCAAGGCGACGAUCUGUAGCGGGUCUGAGAGGAUGAUCCGCCACACUGGAACUGAGACACGGUCCAGACUCCUACGGGAGGCAGCAGUGGGGAAUUUUGGACAAUGGGGGCAACCCUGAUCCAGCCAUGCCGCGUGAGUGAAGAAGGCCUUCGGGUUGUAAAGCUCUUUCGGCCGGGAAGAAAUCGUAUCAGCUAAUACCUGGUGCGGAUGACGGUACCGGCAUAAGAAGCACCGGCUAACUACGUGCCAGCCGCCGCCGUAACAC